GGGAAUAUAGUUCAAUUGUAGAACAUUUGCUUAACAAGCAAAAGUCGAUGGGUCUGACCUCA
rnacentral:tRNA from 1 species